GAUGAACGCUGGCGGCGUGCCUAAUACAUGCAAGUCGAGCGAACAGACGAGGAGCUUGCUCCUCUGACGUUAGCGGCGGACGGGUGAGUAACACGUGGAUAACCUACCUAUAAGACUGGGAUAACUUCGGGAAACCGGAGCUAAUACCGGAUAAUAUAUUGAACCGCAUGGUUCAAUAGUGAAAGACGGUUUUGCUGUCACUUAUAGAUGGAUCCGCGCCGCAUUAGCUAGUUGGUAAGGUAACGGCUUACCAAGGCAACGAUGCGUAGGCGACCUGAGAGAGUGGUAGGCCACACUGGAACUGAGACGCGGACCAGACUCCUACGGGAGGCAGCAGUUGGGAAUCGGCCGCAAUGGGCGAAAGCCUGACGGAGCAACGCCGCGUGAGUGAUGAAGGUCUUCGGAUCGUAAAACUCUGUUAUUAGGGAAGAACAAAUGUGUAAGUAACUAUGCACGUCUUGACGGUACCGAAUCAGAAAGCCACGGCUAACUACGUG
rnacentral:rRNA from 1 species